UACGGAGGAUCCAAGCGUUAUCCGGAUUCAUUGGGUUUAAAGGGUGCGUAGGCGGACUGAUAAGUCAGCGGUGAAAUCCCACGGCUCAACUGUGGAACUGCCGUCGAUACUGUUAGUCUUGAAUGCAGAUGAUGUGGGCGGAAUAUGACAUGUAGUGGUGAAAUACUUAGAUAUGUCAUAGAACACCGAUUGCGAAGGCAGCUCACAAAACUGUGAUUGACGCUGAUGCACGAAAGCGUGGGGAUCAAACAGG
rnacentral:rRNA from 1 species